CCAGGUCAGGACACGGUAGGAUUGACGGACUGAAGGCUCUUUCUCGAUUCCGUGGAAAGUGGUGCAUGGCCGUUUUUGGUUGGUGGAUCGAUCCGUCUGGUUAAUUCCGUUAACGAACGAGACCUCGGCACUCCGAAUAGCGCGGCGGACGUCGCGGCCUCCGGGCCGUCUUCCGCACGAGCUUCUUAGAGGGACCGUCCCCCGCCGGGGAAGGAGGUGCGAGGCAACGACAGGUCUGUGAUGCCCUUAGAUGUUCUGGGCCGCACGCGCAUUACACUGACGCGUCCAACGGGUGACUCCCGACCCGAAGGGGCCGGGGAAUCCGCAAGGCGCGUCGUGAUGGGGAUUGAACGUUGCAAUUGUUGUUCACGAACGAGGAAUUCCUAGUAGGCGCGGGUCAUCAACCCGCGCCGAUUACGUCCCUGCC
rnacentral:rRNA from 1 species